UUCUCUAAAAAGUUUAUUUUCUGUUUUCCCUAAUUUUUUUCACGAAAUUUAUUAAACCCUGGAUCUUUCUGUGAGGUCGUGUUGUACACCGUCGGUGUUUUACCCGUUUCUCUCAAAUCGGUCGUCGACUACUGUACGAAUUUGAGCUGCUGCAACGAUACACGUCUUCAACAGAAACAAAUUUAGGUUCUGCAGGUGAAUUGACUAACGAUUUAGGAGGGAUAUUUUGGUUGUGCCUGCCAUUUUAUUUUGUUGUUUUGACUGUGUUGUUCGAUAUGUGACGGAUGACGUUUUGCUAAGCUGCUACUCGUAUGAUUUGGUUGUUCCAUUUUAUUUUCAAUUAUUUUUUAAGGCGGAAAUGUUCAUGGAUGUUUCUAAACAUUGCUAGUAUGUUUUAAGGUUGUAUUUUGUUAUUGUGGAUUAGUAUAUAAGUUUUAUUAGGUGAUUCUGUUUUAAUUUAUUUUUUUCUAUG